rnacentral:rRNA from 1 species
CCCGCCUCCUAAGAUACUAUAACCCCGGGAACUGGGGCUAAUGGUCAAUAGGCGGUAGAUCCUGGAAUGGUCAUCCGCCUAAAAGGCGUUAGGAACAUGCUUCUGGCGCUGCCUUAGGAUGGAGCUGCGGCCGAUCAGGUUGUUGGUAGGGUAACGGCCUACCAAGCCUACAACCGGUACGGGCCCUGAGAGGGGGAGCCCGGAGAUGGGAACUGAGACAAGGUCCCAGGUCCUACGGGGCGCAGCAGGCGCGAAAACUCCACAAUGCACAAAAGUGUGAUGGGGUCAUCCCGAGUGCCAUCCGUUGAGGAAGGCUUUUUCCCAGUGUAAGGAACUGGGGGAAUAAAGGGGGGGCAAGUCUGGUGUCAGCCGCCGCGGUAAUACCAGCCCCCUGAGUGGUAUGGACGAUUAUUUGGCCUAAAGCGUCCGUAGCCGGCUCAGCAAGUCUUUCGUUAAAUCUAACGAUUCAAUCGUUAGACUGCGGAAGAUACUGCUAGGCUAGAGGAUGGGAGAGGUCGACGGUAGUCCUGGGGUAGGGGUGAAAUCCUAUAAUCCCAGGAGGACCACCAGUGGCGAAGGCGGUCGACUAGAACAUGCCUGACGGUGAUGGACGAAAGCUGGGGGAGCGAACCGGAUUAGACACCCGGGUAGUCCCAGCUGUAAACGAUGCGGGCUAGGUGUUGGGACAGCCAUGAGCUGCUCCAGUGCCGCAGAGAAGUUGUUAAGCCCGCCGCCUGGGAAGUACGGCCGCAAGGCUGAAACUUAAAGGAAUUGGCGGGGGAGCAC